AGAAACAGGAUUUCAGGAUG
rnacentral:miRNA from 1 species